rnacentral:rRNA from 1 species
GUUGAGGAAGAUAAUGACGGUACUCAACAAGGAAGUGACGGCUAACUACGUGCCAGCAGCCGCGGUAAAACGUAGGUCACAAGCGUUGUCCGGAAUUACUGGGUGUAAAGGGAGCGCAGGCGGGAAGACAAGUUGGAAGUGAAAUCCAUGGGCUCAACCCAUGAACUGCUUUCAAAACUGUUUUUCUUGAGUAGUGCAGAGGUAGGCGGAAUUCCCGGUGUAGCGGUGGAAUGCGUAGAUAUCGGGAGGAACACCAGUGGCGAAGGCGGCCUACUGGGCACCAACUGACGCUGAGGCUCGAAAGUGUGGGUAGCAAACAGGAUUAGAUACCCUGGUAGUCCACACUGUAAACGAUGAUUACUAGGUGUUGGAGGAUUGACCCCUUCAGUGCCGCAGUUAACACAAUAAGUAAUCCACCUGGGGAGUACGACCGCAAGGUUGAAACUCAAAGGAAUUGACGGGGGCCCGCACAAGCAGUGGAGUAUGUGGUUUAAUUCGACGCAACGCGAAGAACCUUACCAAGUCUUGACAUCCCUUGACGAUGCUGGAAACAGUAUUUCUCUUCGGAGCAAGGAGACAGGUGGUGCAUGGUUGUCGUCAGCUCGUGUCGUGAGAUGUUGGGUUAAGUCCCGCAACGAGCGCAACCCUUAUGGUCAGUUACUACGCAAGAGGACUCUGGCCAGACUGCCGUUGACAAA